AGAGUUUGAUCCUGGCUCAGGAUGAAAGCAAGCGACAGGCCUAACACAUGCAAGUCGAGGGGUAACAGAGUAAUAGCUUGCUAUUAUUGCUGACGACCGGCGCACGGGCGAGUAACGCGUAUGCAACCUACCUCUUACAGGGGAAUAGCCCGAAGAAAUUCGGAUUAAUGCCCCAUGGUUCUGAUUGAUCGCAUGGUUAAUUAGAUAAAGUUCCGGCGGUAAGAGAUGGGCAUGCGUUCCAUUAGCUAGUUGGUGAGGUAAUGGCUCACCAAGGCAAUGACACCUAACUGGUUUGAGAGGAUGAUCAGUCACACUGGAACUGAGACACGGUCCAGACUCCUACGGGAGGCAGCAGUGGGGAAUAUUGCACAAUGGACGUAUAUUUUGAUGCAGCAACGCCGCGUGGAGGAUGACACUUUUCGGAGCGUAAACUCCUUUUUAUAUAGGAAGAUAAUGACGGUACUAUAUGAAUAAGCACCGGGCUAACUCCGUGCCAGCAGCCGCGGGUAAUACGGAGGGUGCAAGCGUUACUCGGAAUCACUGGGCGUAAAGAGCGUGUAGGCGGAUAGAUAAGUCAGAAGUGAAAUCCAAUAGCUCAACUAUUGAACUGCUUUUGAAACUGUUUAUCUAGAACAUGGGAGAGGUAGAUGGAAUUUCUGGUGUAGGGGUAAAAUCCGUAGAGAUCAGAAGGAAUACCGAUUGCGAAGGCGAUCUACUGGAACAUUAUUGACGCUGAGACGCGAAAGCGUGGGGAGCAAACAGGAUUAGAUACCCUGGUAGUCCACGCCCUAAACGAUGCACACUAGUUGUUGCUAUGCUAGACAUAGCAGUAAUACAGUUAACACAUUAAGUGUGCCGCCUGGGGAGUACGGUCGCAAGAUUAAAACUCAAAGGAAUAGACGGGGACCCGCACAAGCGGUGGAGCAUGUGGUUUAAUUCGACGAUACGCGAAGAACCUUACCUGGACUUGACAUAGUAAGAACUUUCUAGAGAUAGAUCGGUGUCUGCUUGCAGAAACUUAUAUACAGGUGCUGCACGGCUGUCGUCAGCUCGUGUCGUGAGAUGUUGGGUUAAGUCCCGCAACGAGCGCAACCCACGUCAUUAGUUGCUAACACUUCGGGUGAGAACUCUAAUGAGACUGCCUGGGUAACCAGGAGGAAGGUGUGGACGACGUCAAGUCAUCAUGGCCCUUACGUCCAGGGCUACACACGUGCUACAAUGGGGCAUACAAAGAGCCGCAAUACCGCGAGGUGGAGCAAAUCUCAAAAAUGCCUCCCAGUUCGGAUAGCACUCUGCAACUCGAGUGCUUGAAGUUGGAAUCGCUAGUAAUCGUAGAUCAGCAAUGCUACGGUGAAUACGUUCCCGGGUCUUGCCACACCGCCCGU
rnacentral:rRNA from 1 species